rnacentral:rRNA from 1 species
GAUGAACGCUAGCGGCAGGCCUAACACAUGCAAGUCGAGGGGUAUAGUUCUUCGGAACUAGAGACCGGCGCACGGGUGCGUAACGCGUAUGCAAUCUACCUUUUACAGGGGAAUAGCCCAGAGAAAUUUGGAUUAAUGCCCCAUAGUGUUAUAGAAUCGCAUGGUUUUAUAACUAAAGUUCCAACGGUAAAAGAUGAGCAUGCGUCCCAUUAGUUAGUUGGUAAGGUAACGGCUUACCAAGACAAUGAUGGGUAGGGGUCCUGAGAGGGAGAUCCCCCACACUGGUACUGAGACACGGACCAGACUCCUACGGGAGGCAGCAGUGAGGAAUAUUGGACAAUGGGCGCAAGCCUGAUCCAGCCAUGCCGCGUGCAGGAAGACGGUCCUAUGGAUUGUAAACUGCUUUUGUACAGGAAGAAACACUCCCUCGUGAGGGAGCUUGACGGUACUGUAAGAAUAAGGAUCGGCUAACUCCGUGCCAGCAGCCGCGGUAAAGU